rnacentral:lncRNA from 1 species
GGGGCGGUGACUAAGGCUUGGGGGGGGCGGGAUGGGGAGACCCCUGGAGGGCGUGUUGGGGAGAGGCUCCUUCUGGAGAGACAGACCGGUCCGAAGGGCCCUCUCCAUCCCCGGGAGACUCGGUGUGCGAGGGGGUGGGGGCUUCUGGGAUGCGGGCGACCCCGCCCCGAAUUGCGGGACUCCGCGGGGUCUCGCUGCCCCCUCCCGGCCGGCCGCGCGCUUCCUUGCCCGCUCCGCGUCUCUGCUUCUGUCCCCUCCGUCUCUGCGUCUCUCGUCUGCAUUCUUCUCCGCGCGCUUUCCUCCUCCCGGGCUCGGGAGUCGGCCGGUGCGUCGUCUCCGCUGUCGCGCGGCCUCCUGGGCUCCAUCGCCCCUCUGUCCGGGACACGAUUACCUCCCCCUUCGAACGGCCCCAGAUACACCCAAUGUGGCCCCAAGAAAGGCAGAGACAAGCACCCCGGGAGCCUGAGGCCACGUCUCCCUGCAGGGCCAGGGGGCAAGCCCCAUCCCAGGAGUGGAAGAGAGGAGGGGGCCGGGAGGCCCUGGUGGAUGCGACUCAGAAGCAGCCCACGACCGACCGUGCUGCUGCCCUUUGCUCUGGUCCCGCUUUCCUCCGGGAUGUCCCGAGUGGCUUCACUGGAAGUCAUCCUCCUGGAGGACCUGGAGGCGGGAAGCACUGGGCCUCAGGACCUCCAAGCCAAUCAUCUGAGCCUGGGGCUCUCAGGGCUGAGAAAAGACCGGGGUUUUGGGGUGUGUGCAUGUGUGCCUGUGUGUGUGUGUGUGUGCCUCCGUGUGUGUGUAGGCGUGUGUGCCUCCGUGUGUAUCUGUGUGUGUGUGUCUGCAGACCUCAGAGAGGGAGGCUUCACCCUGCGGCCGGAGGAGGUGGUGAACUCAGGGUGCGUCCCCGCCGAGCCUCUCGUGUCCUGCCGCCGCCGCGCGAGGGGCCUGCCUCGGCUACUCCCAGGCGCACAGGGGCCUGAGCCGGCGGGCGCCGAGAACCUGGGCCCAGGGACGGCCUGGGCCCCACCGACACUGGCCCAG